GUGCUACUUGGUCAGAGUCAAAACCUGGAUGAAACAGGGUCAAAUGGAAACGGAAAAAUCCUGAGCAUCCACUCGUCGGAGAGUCAGCAGGAAUUCUUCAGGAUGCUGGACGAGAAAAUCGAAAAGGGCCGGGACUACUGCUCAGAGGAGAAGAUAUGAUGA